AGGGAUAUCUAUUCAACUUGUUGCUAGGGAGGGGAACAACAACUGGAAACGGUUGCUAAUACCCCGUAGGCUGAGGAGCAAAAGGAGAAAUCCGCCCAAGGAGGGGCUCGCGUCUGAUUAGCUAGUUGGUGAGGUAAUAGCUUACCAAGGCGAUGAUCAGUAGCUCGUCCGAGAGGAUGAUCAGC
rnacentral:ncRNA from 1 species